AGAGUUUGAUCCUGGCUCAGGAUGAACGCUAGCGACAGGCUUAACACAUGCAAGUCGAGGGGCAGCGGGGAGUAGCAAUACUUCGCCGGCGACCGGCGCACGGGUGAGUAACACGUGUGCAACCAACCCCGUACCGGGAGAUAACCCGCGGAAACGUGGACUAACAUCCCAUAAUACUGGAGGAUCGCAUGAUCUUUCAUUUAAAAUUCCGGUGGUACGGGACGGGCACGCGCGACAUUAGGUAGUUGGCGGGGUAACGGCCCACCAAGCCGACGAUGUCUAGGGGUUCUGAGAGGAAGGUCCCCCACACUGGAACUGAGACACGGUCCAGACUCCUACGGGAGGCAGCAGUGAGGAAUAUUGGUCAAUGGGCGCGAGCCUGAACCAGCCAAGUCGCGUGAGGGAAGAAUGGUCCAUGGCCUGUAAACCUCUUUUGUCAAGGAAGAAUAAAUUGCACGUGUGCGAUCUUGCCAGUACUUGACGAAUAAGCAUCGGCUAACUCCGUGCCAGCAGCCGCGGUAAUACGGGGGAUGCGAGCGUUAUCCGGAUUUAUUGGGUUUAAAGGGCGCGUAGGCGGGACGCCAAGUCAGCGGUAAAAGACUGCAGCUAAACUGUAGCACGCCGUUGAAACUGGCGCCCUCGAGACGAGACGAGGGAGGCGGAACAAGUGAAGUAGCGGUGAAAUGCUUAGAUAUCACUUGGAACCCCGAUAGCGAAGGCAGCUUCCCAGGCUCGAUCUGACGCUGAUGCGCGAGAGCGUGGGUAGCGAACAGGAUUAGAUACCCUGGUAGUCCACGCCGUAAACGAUGCUCACUGGAUCUUGGCGAUACACUGCCAGGGUUCAAGCGAAAGUAUUAAGUGAGCCACCUGGGGAGUACGUCGGCAACGAUGAAACUCAAAGGAAUUGACGGGGGCCCGCACAAGCGGAGGAACAUGUGGUUUAAUUCGAUGAUACGCGAGGAACC
rnacentral:rRNA from 1 species